UGGGGAGUACGACCGCAAGGUUGAAACUCAAAGGAAUUGACGGGGGCCCGCACAAGCGGUGGAGCAUGUGGUUUAAUUCGAAGCAACGCGAAGAACCUUACCAGGUCUUGACAUCCUUUGACCACUCUAGAGAUAGAGCUUUCCCUUCGGGGACAAAGUGACAGGUGGUGCAUGGUUGUCGUCAGCUCGUGUCGUGAGAUGUUGGGUUAAGUCCCGCAACGAGCGCAACCCUUAUUGUUAGUUGCCAUCAUUCAGUUGGGCACUCUAGCGAGACUGCCGGUGACAAACCGGAGGAAGGUGGGGAUGACGUCAAAUCAUCAUGCCCCUUAUGACCUGGGCUACACACGUGCUACAAUGGGAAGUACAACGAGUCGCUAGACCGCGAGGUCAUGCAAAUCUCUUAAAGCUUCUCUCAGUUCGGAUUGCAGGCUGCAACUCGCCUGCAUGAAGCCGGAAUCGCUAGUAAUCGCGGAUCAGCACGCCGCGGUGAAUACGUUCCCGGGCCUUGUACACACCGCCCGUCACACCACGAGAGUUUGUAACACCCGAAGUCGGUGAGGUAACCUUUUUGGAGCCAGCCGCCUAAGGUGGGAUAGAUGAUUGGGGUGAAGUCGUAACAAGGUAACCAAGGGCGAAUUCGCGGC
rnacentral:rRNA from 1 species